rnacentral:rRNA from 1 species
CCUACGGGAGGCAGCAGUGGGGGAUAUUGCACAAUGGGGGGAACCCUGAUGCAGCGACGCCGCGUGGGUGAAGGAGCGUUUCGGCGCGUAAAGCCCUAUCGGCAGGGAAGAAGGAGGACGGGACCUGACGAAGAAGCCCCGGCUAACUACGUGCCAGCAGCCGCGGUAAUACGUAGGGGGCAAGCGUUAUCCGGAUUUACUGGGUGUAAAGGGGGCGCAGACGGCAGCGCAAGCCAGGAGUGAAAGCCCGGGGCCCAACCCCGGGACUGCUCUUGGAACUGCGCGGCUGGAGUGCAGGAGGGGCAGGCGGAAUUCCUGGUGUAGCGGUGAAAUGCGUAGAUAUCAGGAGGAACACCGGUGGCGAAGGCGGCCUGCUGGACUGCGACUGACGUUGAGGCCCGAAAGCGUGGGGAGCAAACAGGAUUAGAUACCCCUGUAGUC